CAUUAAACUAUAGUACAUUCAUAAUUACUCCAAAUAGAAAGAAAUCAAUACAAAACUUGCAUGAAAAAUUCAAUCACUACAAUUUUAAACAGAUCCUUUGGAUGGUAAAUACAAUUUUUGAUCUCCUGUAAGUCAUAUGGAAUGACAUAUCUGUGCUUACCCAAAUGUCACUUGCCCCAAUCCCCAGCUGCUUGAAUCCUAUUUAUUUGCCUGAUUCCCAACUGCCUGAAUCUACUUGCUCAAAUUCUUACCUGCCUGAAUCCUGUUUAUGUUCACUUUUGAUUGAUCCCAUUUGCCAAAUUCUCAUUUUCCUGAAUAUUAAGUUGUUUGAUUCCUAUUUGCCUGAAUCCAGCUCAACUGAUUUAAGAUUUGCU
rnacentral:lncRNA from 1 species